rnacentral:rRNA from 1 species
GGGCCCGCACAAGCGGUGGAGCAUGUGGUUUAAUUCGAUGAUACGCGAGGAACCUUACCAGGGCUUAAAUGUAGUCUGACAGGAGUGGAAACACUUUUUUCUUCGGACAGAUUACAAGGUGCUGCAUGGUUGUCGUCAGCUCGUGCCGUGAGGUGUCAGGUUAAGUCCUAUAACGAGCGCAACCCCUGUGGUUAGUUGCCAGCGAGUAAUGUCGGGAACUCUAGCCAGACUGCCGGUGCAAACCGCGAGGAAGGUGGGGAUGACGUCAAAUCAUCACGGCCCUUACGUCCUGGGCCACACACGUGCUACAAUGGUAGGGACAGAGAGCAGCCACUUCGCGAGAAGGAGCGAAUCUACAAACCCUAUCACAGUUCGGAUCGCAGUCUGCAACUCGACUGCGUGAAGCUGGAAUCGCUAGUAAUCG